GGACUGAGCUCUGCCACAGGAGCCCUUGUGACCUGGAAUUCCUGUGUCCGUCUCCUGUGUCCAGCCCUUCAGUUUCCCUCCAGAAACAGCUGAGUACCUCCCUCCAGUCGAUCACACUCGGGAGGAGACGAUGAGGACAAGGGAGGGAAUACCUGUGACCUUCUGCCACCCCAGGUUUCCGAGUCCCAAAAGAAAGGGAGGAAUGUGAGAAUUU